UUUUUCAUUUUAAUAUCGCAUAUAUUGUCUUUGUGGAAAUGAACUAGCAAACAAACAGUAUCCAAGGGUACCAGAAUCAGAUUGUAACAUGGCUUGUGCUGGUGAAACGAAUCGAAUGUGUGGAGGUGGCUAUAGAAACUCGAUAUAUUUAGUCAAACCGUAAUCGCAAAGAGAAAUGCAGAAAAAACACAGAGAUCAGUAUCAAAAUAAAAUGAUAGUAUUUUAAUGUGA